UACAGAGGUCCCGAGCGUUGUUCGGAGUUACUGGGCGUAAAGAGUGCGUAGGCGGUUUUCUAAGUUUGGUGUGAAAUCUCCCGGCUCAACUGGGAGGGUGCGCCGAAGACUGGAAGGCUUGAGUAUGGGAGAGGUAAGCGGAAUUCCUGGUGUAGCGGUGAAAUGCGUAGAUAUCAGGAGGAACACCUGCGGUGUAGACGGCUUACUGGACCAUAACUGACGCUGAGGCACGAAAGCGUGGGUAGCAAACAGG
rnacentral:rRNA from 1 species